rnacentral:tRNA from 1 species
GGGCUGAUAGCUUAAAGGUAAAGUGUGUUGCUCAUAACAAUGAAGAAGUUGGUUCAAGUCCAGCUCAGUCUA